rnacentral:rRNA from 1 species
UACGGAGGAUGCAAGCGUUAUCCGGAAUGAUUGGGCGUAAAGCGUCCGCAGGUGGCUUUGUAAGUCUGCUGUUAAAUAGUGAGGCUCAACCUCAUAAAGGCAGUGGAAACUACAAGGCUAGAGUGCGUUCGGGGCAGAGGGAAUUCCUGGUGUAGCGGUGAAAUGCGUAGAGAUCAGGAAGAACACCGGUGGCGAAAGCGCUCUGCUAGGCCGCAACUGACACUGAGGGACGAAAGCUAGGGGAGCGAACAGG